CGGGGUGUGGCGCAGUCCGGUAGCGUGCUCGUCUGGGGGGCGAGAGGUCGCAGGUUCAAAUCCUGUCACUCCGACAA
rnacentral:tRNA from 1 species